rnacentral:tRNA from 1 species
UCCUUGGGAUCUCAGUGGUAAAGAAUCUGCCUGCCAAGCAGGAGACAAGGGUUCGAUUCCUGGAUGGGGAA